rnacentral:rRNA from 1 species
GUGAGGAAUUUUCCGCAAUGGGCGAAAGCCUGACGGAGCAAUGCCGCGUGAAGGAUGAAGGCCUAUGGGUUGUAAACUUCUUUUCUCAGAAAAGAAUUAUGACGGUAUCUGAGGAAUAAGCAUCGGCUAACUCUGUGCCAGCAGCCGCGGUAAGACAGAGGAUGCAAGCGUUAUCCGGAAUGAUUGGGCGUAAAGCGUCUGUAGGUUGUUUAAAAAGUAUUCUGUCAAAGAUUAGGGCUUAACCCUAGAUAGGCAGAAUAAACUUUUAAGCUAGAGUGUGGUAGAGGCGGAGGGAAUUCCCGGUGGAGCGGUGAAAUGCGUAGAUAUCGGGAGGAACACCAAAGGCGAAGGCACUCUGCUGGGCCAAUACUAACACUGAGAGACGAAAGCGAGGGGAGCAAAUGGGAUUAGAAACCCGGGUAGUCC